AUACUGCCACCUGCUUGGGAGAUACCAUGAUCAUGAAGGUGGUUCACCCAGGCGAGGCUCAGCCAUUGCACCGGUUGUGCUGACCACGUCGCGAAUUCCUCAAAUGUGGAAUCUCGACUGCAUAAUUUGUGGUAAUUGGGGACUGCGUCCGCGCUCUCCCUGA